AGGAGAUGUUCAGGAGGAGAUCCCUGAACCGCCACGGUGAUCUACUGUACACACACACACACACACACACACACACACACACACACACACAGAUUUAUGUGCAGACUGACAGCCUUUAUUUACAGCAGUGUGUGUGUGUUUUUAUUGCCUCUCUCUGUCUUUCAGCUUGAAUCUAAACUCUGACUGAUGAUCACAUGACUGAUGAUCACAUGACUGAUGAUCACAUGACUGAUGAUCAAAAUCAGUCAGGACUCUGGAGUGGGAGUCACCGCAUGGAAAGGCGAAACGUCUCAAAUAAGUCCAGUUGUCCUCACAACGAAGAGCUGGACAUCAUAGAUGCUGCAUCCUCAGUUUUAAACAG